GUAUUUGAAGGCCAAAAGAGAUCUUGAAAGGCUGAUUUAGUCCAUCCUCUCAGGAAACUUUUCCAGUUUCACUUAGGUGGAAGACGACAGUGAUUCAGAGACCCAUGGAGAAGAGAAUGAUGAGCGAGGACAUUUUUCUAGAAGAAAGAUAGUCUGUAACUGGGAUCGAUAUCAGGAUACUGAAAAAGAACUCAAUGAUGAAAGUGGAGAAUCACAGCGGGGGACAGACUUCAGCGUCCUCCUGAGCUCUGCAGGCUGUCUUUGCAACGGUUCCCACUCCUCUGCCUCUGGGACUCUGGAGCUGCAGCAGUGUGAGAAGGAGGUGGUUCUUUUGGCUUCCAUCCCCUUAAGUAAGCUCUUACUUGUCUUAUGUUUUGUAAAGGUAAUCCUCAAGGCAGUCGCUUCAGAGUGUUUUAAAUAAGGAUCAAGUGGGAAAGACAGUUUUAGCUUUUACUCUUUCUCCAUGUACCAGAGACUAAAGGUUGAUGAAAUUAUCAGUCUUACAUUGUUGUACACUGUAGCUUUGGUUGUAUUUUAUUAUCUCUUUUCAAAAUGAUGAUACACACAGAAAGCUUUCCUGGGAACAUAUGGCACUGAAGAGAUGAGUGUGUGGCCUUUCAACAUGUGUGCCUACUAGUGGAAGUGGAAGCUCCAAAUUAUGUGUUGGAUUUGUAUAUAGUUGCUAGGAAUUUGUAAAUGGUAUGUGUCAUUAUAAUUUAUAAUAUAUACUGUGAGUAUAUAUUAUAAAACACUAGGUACUCAAUGCUGGGUUUGAUUCUCAGAUUCUACACUUCUGUGUUGAUAGUUGUGGUACGUGCGUAUACACACACACACAUACACACAGGGGCAGGGGAAUCCAGCAAUACUUUAGUGGUUCCCAUCUUGAUUAUCAUUCCCUGCUGAGAAUCUGUUGCAAUUCACCAUAUGGGAUCCCGGAUAAUACUUUGUGCUGUCAUUUAUUGCCCUGGAGUGCAAUCCCAUCCCAAAAUCACCUCCUAAAUGAGUGUGAAGACUUGAUUUUUUUGUUUUUUCUUUUUCUGAUCUCUGUCUUUUGCCAGGGGAAUUAGUUUUACUGUGAUGAAAUCUUGUUAUACAUUGGCUAUACAUCUAGCUACAAGAUAAAUUACCUAGUUAAUUAAUCUUUUUGAUUAAUUGGAUAUUGCCUUCUAGUUGCUUGAAUUCUGAUGAUCAAGCUUUUUAUUAAGAAAAAAUGGGGUAAGAUAAUUAAAAAUUAAUUACUUGGCUUUCCUGCAGCAUUGUUUAGUUUAGUGAGGUUAGUGAAAGUAUUCAAUACUCCUUUAAUUUGAGUAUAAUGUGCUAGUUGAAAUAACUGCCAAGUAAGCCCACAUGAAGAAUCCUAUAAAUGGGCUUGGUACCUACAUUUCUGGACGGCCAAUUUUCCUAAGAGAGAUAACUGUUUAUGAUUCAUCAUUUGGCUCAUGAUGGGAAAGUACUGGCAGGAAGCGGCAACUUUUGUUUCUUUCUAAAGAGAGAUUUCUGAGCUGUGGAGUGAAGGUUAUCCAGCAGUCAGCCCUAAAGAGUUGUGAUGCUAAUGUUGCUUUUAUUCUGAUCUACAUUUACUCCUAUUUGGGAGCACACAGUUCUUUCAAUAACAUUUUACACUUAGUGGGAACAUACUACCCUGUGGCCUCAAGCCCUCAAGAGUUACAGAUUACAGUUUGCGCACAUUUGAUUCACGCUCAUGUUCCUUUGUACAGUGUUUUUAUAUCUAG
ensembl:lincRNA